rnacentral:rRNA from 1 species
AUUGAACGCUGGCGGCAUGCUUUACACAUGCAAGUCGAACGGCAGCGGGGAGGAGCUUGCUUCUCUGCCGGCGAGUGGCGAACGGGUGAGUAAUACAUCGGAACGUGUCGAGAAGAGGGGGAUAACCACCCGAAAGGGUGGAUAAUACCGCAUAAAUUCUGAGGAAGAAAGCUGGGGACCUAGGAAUAGGCCUAGCGCUUUUUGAGCGGCCGAUGUCGGAUUAGCUAGUUGGUGAGGUAAAGGCUCACCAAGGCGAAGAUCUGUAGCGGGUCUGAGAGGAUGAUCCGCCACACUGGGACUGAGACACGGCCCAGACUCCUACGGGAGGCAGCAGUGGGGAAUUUUGGACAAUGGGGGCAACCCUGAUCCAGCCAUGCCGCGUGUAUGAAGAAGGCCUUAGGGUUGUAAAGUACUUUUGUUAGGGAAGAAAAGUCAGCUGUGAAUAAUGGCUGAUACUGACGGUACCUAAAGAAUAAGCACCGGCUAACUACGUG